rnacentral:lncRNA from 1 species
CUGGCUCUCACAUACUCUUUCCAGCUGCCUCCCAAGCCAGCCCUACAGUCUGAUGAACAUUCUAGAGUAUGUGGACACAGAUGGACGCUCUGGCCACAGGUCGUCAUUGGCACGGACAGCAUCAUCCAGCUGGAUUUGAGUGUCCUGAGGAUCAGAAAAAUGAGUGGCCUCAUUGCGGCUGCGUGUCUCCGCAUCCAGGGAGGUCUGCAGGGAGUCCACCAUCCGCAGGUGGUUGCGCUUGGCCUGCUCCAUCUCCUCAUCCUUCUCUGCCAGCUUCCUUUCAAUCUCUGCCUUGAUCUGGUUGAACUCUAGCUGGGCGCGGAGGAUCUUGCCCUCCUCGUGCUCCAGGGAGGCCUGGAAAGGAUAUAGAUUUUGCAGGCAUAUAGUCAGAGACCAGGGUGGAAGCAAGGGUGUGUCUAAAAACCAUGGCACAGAGAGCAUUUGGGGAUGGUAUACAUGACUCAGUAGGAGAUGCAGUGGAAGGAAAUGAGAAAGAGUGUGCACAAGAGAAAUGAAAGCAAGCUGAAGAGAAGGGGAUGCAGACUCCCAGGGGGGCGGAGGGAGUCAGCUUUGAAGACAAAGAGGAAAAUGAAAAGUGUUGCCAAGGAAACAGAGGCAAUGAAGCAGAGAGUAAAGGAACAAAAAAAAAAAAACCACCACACACAGGCAGGCAGAGGUGGAAAGUGGAAUGAGCUGAAAUAGGAGUCUUUCUAAGGUACAGUAAAUAAAAUGUUUGUGUGAAGGAA